GCCUAUGGCCAUACCACCCUGAUCUCCUCUGAUCUCAGAAGCUAAGCAGGGUCAGACCAGGUAGUACUUGGAUGAGAGACCAGACACUGUGAAAUAGGCU
rnacentral:rRNA from 1 species